AUUGAACGCUGGCGGCAGGCCUAACACAUGCAAGUCGAGCGGAUGAAGGGAGCUUGCUCGUGGAUUCAGCGGCGGACGGGUGAGUAAUGCCUAGGAAUCUCCCUAGUAGUGGGGUAGAACGUCCGGAAACGGGCGCUCAUACCGCAUACGUCCUGAGGGAGAAAGUGGGGGAUCUUCGGACCUCACGCUAUCAGAUGAGCCUAGGUGGGAUUAGCGAGUUGGUGGGGUAAAGGCCUACCAAGGCGACGAUCCGUAACUGGUCUGAGAGGAUGAUCAGUCACACCUGAACCUGGAAACGGUUCCGACCUCUAAGGGAGGCAGGAGUUGGGAAAUAUGGGACAUGGGGGGAAAGCCUAACCAGGCAAUCCCGCGGGUGUGAAAAAGGUCUUCGGAUUGAAAGGCACUUAAGUGGGGAGGAAGGGCAGUAAGUUAAUACCUUGCUGUUUUGACGGUACCAACAGAAUAAGCACCGGCUAACUUCGUG
rnacentral:rRNA from 1 species